rnacentral:lncRNA from 1 species
UGAAAUUGAGGCUUAUGUUUCUCUUGGGGAAUGACAUAAUUUGAAGUGGUUAAAUUGUGGUGUUCAAACCUAAUAUCAAUCGGUGCGAACACUAGAAUAAACGUCAGAAAAAUGCCUUGAGGUUUCAAAAGAACAUUUGAGGUUUUCCCAUUCAUACAUUUUAGUUUCGCAGUGAUAGAUGACAAAAAAGAAAUACGAAUAUACCAAGGGGACAAUCAAACUAAUCAGUGAUAAUCCGUAUUGUUAUUACACAUUGUAAUAUUUAAAUAGCCACAAGACCAUGAAAAAAGGAAAAAAUAUAAUCACCAUCAAGACAACAACAAACAAACAAACUAAAAAAAAAAAAAAAAAAAAAAAAAAACCACCACCACCAUCAACUUAAAAAAACCCAACAUCAACAACAAGACCAAAAAACAAUAAUAACAAUGAGUUCGUUACUUCUACUAUUCCAUUUCUGCAAACAACAAUAAUAAUAUUCAUCAUAAUGAUCAUGAUACCCUUCGUCAUAAAACUAUGGACAACCUUUUAUAAUGUUUAGUCGUCGAGUUUGUAGUUAUUGUGUAAAAAAAAACCCAAAAUAAAAAGAUUGGUUAAAAAUAAUUUUGAAACUUCAGAAACCUUUCAACCUUUUGAACUCUUUUCUCAAACGAAUCCAAUAGAUGGGAUACAAUAACGAACAUGUAAACAAAUAAAACAAUGGUUGUAAAUGCCACCAAAAUUCCAAAAGAGGCAAGCAUUUGAACAACUAAAAAUCCUUGUAAGGCCUUCAACAGUGAGCAAAAGAAAUACUGUAUUAAGUAAUCUUUUAAAGGCAUAAAAUAAUGUUCGUAGCCGCUCAAUAACAUGAGACAGUGGUUGUUUAUCGACCAUGAGAACAAACUGUAAAUAACAGUUUGGAAUGGCUUCAUCCGUGUUAUUGUUACUUAGUACAAAUAAAAUACAAUGAACACAAUGUACCAACUUAGAUUUUUUAGAGGUUGGUUAAAGCUAUGCCAAAACCACAUUUCAACUAAUUGAUAAUUAAUUUAGUACAGACCAAAUGGCAAUCAGCACAUUAACAGCAG